GGGGGUGUCUUGGAUUCGACGGGGUGUAGGACGCUGCUCGGUGCAUGUCGAGGUCUAGUCACCUCGUUAAACAGCUAGAAAACAAAUAAACGCCAACAACGAGCGUUUCGCUCUCGCCGCCUAGUGCCGCGAGCGAUGCACCGGGUGGUCUCUGGCCCGGGCCGGGUAAAACCGGCAGCAUCGUCAUAUACAGAGUCUAGGUCAGCGCGGUGUCGCGACGCGCUGUCCGAAAUUUAGCGGCUGGCUCGGAACCGGCCCGUCCAUUGGCAGGGUUUCGGGUGAGACUCAAAUCAGCGGACUAAACAUGUAGAUCCGGCGGAAAAAUCAUUUCGGACGCGGGUUCAAUUCCCGCCACCUCCACCA
rnacentral:tmRNA from 1 species